rnacentral:rRNA from 1 species
AACGAACGCUGGCGGCAUGCCUAACACAUGCAAGUCGAACGAGACCUUCGGGUCUAGUGGCGCACGGGUGCGUAACGCGUGGGAACCUGCCCUUAGGUUCGGAAUAACUCCCCGAAAGGGGUGCUAAUACCGGAUAAUGUCUUCGGACCAAAGAUUUAUCGGCUUUGGAUGGGCGCGCGUUGGAUUAGCUAGUUGGUAGGGUAAAAGCCUACCAAGGCGACGAUCCAUAGCUGGUCUGAGAGGAUGAUCAGCCACACUGGGGCUGAGACACGGCCCAGAAUCCUACGGAAGGCAGCAGUGGGGAAUAUUGGACGAUGGGCGAGAGCCUGAUCCAGCAAUGCCGCGUGAGUGAUGAAGGCCUGAGGGUUGUGAAGCUCUUUUACCCGGGAUGAUAGUGACGGUACCGGGAGAAUAAGCUCCGGCUAACUCCGUG